rnacentral:rRNA from 1 species
CAGUAGCCGCGGUAAUACGUAGGGUGCGAGCGUUAAUCGGAAUUACUGGGCGUAAAGCGUGCGCAGGCGGUUGUGUAAGACAGGUGUGAAAUCCCCGGGCUUAACCUGGGAACUGCGCUUGUGACUGCACAGCUAGAGUAUGGCAGAGGGGGGUGGAGUUCCACGUGUAGCAGUGAAAUGCGUAGAGAUGUGGAGGAACACCGAUGGCGAAGGCAGCCCCCUGGGCCAAUACUGACGCUCAUGCACGAAAGCGUGGGGAGCGAACAGGAUUAGAUACCCCAGUAGUCCCUGUCUCUUAUAC